CACUGGAUCCUGCACACGCGAACCCUCUGUUGACAAAAAGGCUUCAAGGAAGAAGGCCCCGGGGUGUGCUCCCCAGGGCAAGUCCUGCUCACUCCCUUCCAAAGCUCAGCCCAGCUCUGAUGACUUCUCCCACCUCCACGGCCGUACCAGUCCCAUCAGGAUGCCUGGACUGUGGCCCUGGCCUUCCAAACCCACCUCCGAUCAGCCCGGGUGAUGGUGGGAAGGCAAAGAUCUGCAUCACUGCACCUCCUGUCCUCGCUGCCUCAGGUCUUCCCAUCAGACGCACAAGAAAAACCCAAGUCCUGGCUGGGGUCCACGUGAGCCCCUGCCACUCACUGUCCUCCACCCCCGUGGCCUCAGACACCCCUAGCACACACACACCUGCCUCAGGCCCUUUGCACUUGUUAUCGGUCCUGCCUGGAAUGUGCCUCUCCCAGAUGUUCCCCAGGCCUGUUUGUCACCUGGCCGGGAGGCUUUUGCAGAUCACCUCACCUCAAAGAGCUCUCCCACCACUCUGUCCCCAUUACUCCACUUCAUUUUCUUUAAAAAAAUAAAGAAUAAUUUCAAAACA